rfam:Ictidomys tridecemlineatus contig063909, whole genome shotgun sequence.
AGGGUUGUGGCUCAGUGGUAGAGCACUUGCCUAGCAUGCAUGAGGCAUUGGGUUCGACCCCCAGCACCACAU